rnacentral:tRNA from 1 species
GUGGGUAUAGCUCAGUUGGUUAGAGCGCCAGAUUGUGGCUCUGGAGGUCGUGAGUUCGAACCUCAUUACCCACCCCA